UACGUAGGGACCGAGCGUUGUCCGGAUUCAUUGGGCGUAAAGAGCUCGUAGGCGGCCACUCAAGUCGAAUGUGAAACCUCGAGGCUCAACCUCGAGCCUGCAUUCGAUACUGGGCGGCUAGAGUCUGGUAGGGGGAUCUGGAAUUCCUGGUGUAGCGGUGGAAUGCGCAGAUAUCAGGAGGAACACCGGUGGCGAAGGCGGGAUCCUGGGCCAGUACUGACGCUGAGGCGCGAAAGCUAGGGGAGCGAACGGG
rnacentral:rRNA from 1 species